rnacentral:rRNA from 1 species
GGAUUGCAGUCUGCAACUCGAGUGCAUGAAGCUGGAAUCGCUAGUAAUCGCGAAUCAGAAUGUCGCGGUGAAUACGUUCCCGGGUCUUGUACACACCGCCCGUCACACCAUGGGAGCCGACAACGCCCGAAGUCAGUGACCUAACCGAGAGGGAGGAGCUGCCGAAGGCGGGGUUGGUAACUGGGGUGAAGUCGUAACAAGGUAAC